AACGAACGCUGGCGGCAUGCCUAACACAUGCAAGUCGAACGAGACCUUCGGGUCUAGUGGCGCACGGGUGCGUAACGCGUGGGGACCUGCCCUUAGGUUCGGAAUAACUCCCCGAAAGGGGUGCUAAUACCGGAUAAUGUCUUCGGACCAAAGAUUUAUCGCCUUUGGAUGGGCCCGCGUUGGAUUAGCUAGUUGGUAGGGUAAAAGCCUACCAAGGCGACGAUCCAUAGCUGGUCUGAGAGGAUGAUCAGCCACACUGGGACUGAGACACGGCCCAGACUCCUACGGGAGGCAGCAGUGGGGAAUAUUGGAAAAUGGGCGAAAGCCUGAUCCAGCAAUGCCGCGUGAGUGAUGAAGGCCUUAGGGUUGUAAAGCUCUUUUACCCGGGAUGAUAAUGACAGUACCGGGAGAAUAAGCUCCGGCUAACUCCGUG
rnacentral:rRNA from 1 species